rnacentral:rRNA from 1 species
AACGAACGCUGGCGGCAUGCCUAACACAUGCCAGUCGAACGAAUCCUUCGGGCUUGGUGGCGCACUGGUGCGUAACGCGUUGGAAUCUGCCCCUUGCUUCGGAAGAACAUUUAGAAUUGACUGCUAAUACCGGAUGAAGUCUUCCGACCGAAGAUUUAUCGACAAGGGAUGAGCCCGCGUAGGAUUAGGUAGUUGUUGGGGUAAAGGCCUACCAAGCCGACGAUACUUAGCUGGUCUGAGAGGAUGAUCAGCCACACUGGUACUGGGAAACGGCCCAGACUACUACGGGAGGGAGCAGUGGGGAAUAUUGGAAAACCGAGGGAAGUAUGAAGCAGCAAUGAUGGGUGAGUGAUGAAGGUCUUAGGGUUGUAAAGCUAUUUUACCAGGGAUGAUAAUGACAGUACCUGGAGAAUAAGCACCGGCUAACUUCGUG